ACGAUCCACUAGGGGUGCCUUCUAAAAGGCUGAGAUUAAAGUGCGACUUUAAGACCCUUUGAACCUGAUCUGGUUGAGACCAGCGUAGGGAAGUGGUGUUUGACGGUC
rnacentral:ncRNA from 2 species